GAUGAACGCUGGCGGCGUGCUUAACACAUGCAAGUCGAACGAAGCACUUUAUUUGAUUUCCUUCGGGACUGAUUAUUUUGUGACUGAGUGGCGGACGGGUGAGUAACGCGUGGGUAACCUGCCUUGUACAGGGGGAUAACAGUUGGAAACGGCUGCUAAUACCGCAUAAGCGCACAGCAUCGCAUGAUGCAGUGUGAAAAACUCCGGUGGUAUAAGAUGGACCCGCGUUGGAUUAGCUAGUUGGUGAGGUAACGGCCCACCAAGGCGACGAUCCAUAGCCGACCUGAGAGGGUGACCGGCCACAUUGGGACUGAGACACGGCCCAAACUCCUACGGGAGGCAGCAGUGGGGAAUAUUGCACAAUGGGCGUAAGCCUGAUGCAGCGACGCCGCGUGAGCGAAGAAGUAUUUCGGUAUGUAAAGCUCUAUCAGCAGGGAAGAUAAUGACGGUACCUGACUAAGAAGCACCGGCUAAAUACGUG
rnacentral:rRNA from 1 species